rnacentral:rRNA from 1 species
AGAGUUUGAUCAUGGCUCAGGAUGAACGCUAGCGGCAGGCUUAACACAUGCAAGUCGAGGGGUAUAAGUCUUCGGAUUUAGAGACCGGCGCACGGGUGCGUAACGCGUAUGCAAUCUACCUUUUACAGAGGGAUAGCCCAGAGAAAUUUGGAUUAAUACCUCAUAGUAUUAUGAAAUGGCAUCAUUUUAUAAUUAAAGUCACAACGGUAAAAGAUGAGCAUGCGUCCCAUUAGCUUGUUGGUAAGGUAACGGCUUACCAAGGCUACGAUGGGUAGGGGUCCUGAGAGGGAGAUCCCCCACACUGGUACUGAGACACGGACCAGACUCCUACGGGAGGCAGCAGUGAGGAAUAUUGGUCAAUGGACGCAAGUCUGAACCAGCCAUGCCGCGUGCAGGAUGACGGUCCUAUGGAUUGUAAACUGCUUUUGCACAGGAAGAAACAACGCUACGUGUAGCGUCUUGACGGUACUGUGAGAAUAAGGAUCGGCUAACUCCGUGCCAGCAGCCGCGGUAAUACGGAGGAUCCAAGCGUUAUCCGGAAUCAUUGGGUUUAAAGGGUCCGUAGGCGGUUUAGUAAGUCAGUGGUGAAAGCCCAUCGCUCAACGGUGGAACGGCCAUUGAUACUGCUAAACUUGAAUUAUUAGGAAGUAACUAGAAUAUGUAGUGUAGCGGUGAAAUGCUUAGAGAUUACAUGGAAUACCAAUUGCGAAGGCAGGUUACUACUAAUGGAUUGACGCUGAUGGACGAAAGCGUGGGUAGCGAACAGGAUUAGAUACCCUAGUAGUCC